AGGAAAUCUCAUGUAGAAGCCCAGAACUUUCAAGAGAUAAGAAGUAGAGAGAUUCUGGUUUAAAGAGAGAUGACAGAAGCCCUGAAUGUCCUCUCUUCUGCUCCCCCAGAUACCUUCAUGGACUACAGGGCUGUACAUACGGGUCAUGGGAUACAUGAACUUCAGGCUUAAUCUCUGUGUGAGAAAAACAGCAUGAAGAUAAUCAACUCUAUGUCAGAAGAAAUUGGCAACACUACUAACCACGAGUAAUGCACACCGAAGGAGGACCCGGGGAAGAACCAAGAGAAGACAAGAACUGAAGUUCUUCCAUUCCCACCUCUGCAUCACCUUCCCUGCUUUCUCUUUCCCCAGAAGAGACUCAGUCAACAUCCCAAAGACCAAUGAUUUCAUUGUUUUACACCAAAUAUCCCUCCUCUAAAUUUUUCAAGAAAUUGGGAAUAAACUUCUUACGCAAGAAAA
ensembl:lncRNA PLCE1-AS2 PLCE1 antisense RNA 2